CCUACGGGAGGCAGCAGUGGGGAAUUUUGGACAAUGGGCGCAAGCCUGAUCCAGCAAUGCCGCGUGAGUGAAGAAGGCCUUCGGGUUGUAAAGCUCUUUUGUCAGGGAAGAAACGGUCUACUCUAAUACAGUGGGCUAAUGACGGUACCUGAAGAAUAAGCACCGGCUAACUACGUGCCAGCAGCCGCGGUAAUACGUAGGGUGCAAGCGUUAAUCGGAAUUACUGGGCGUAAAGCGUGCGCAGGCGGUUAUAUAAGUCAGAUGUGAAAUCCCCGGGCUCAACCUGGGAACUGCAUUUGAGACUGUAUGGCUAGAGUGUGUCAGAGGGGGGUAGAAUUCCACGUGUAGCAGUGAAAUGCGUAGAUAUGUGGAGGAAUACCGAUGGCGAAGGCAGCCCCCUGGGAUAACACUGACGCUCAUGCACGAAAGCGUGGGGAGCAAACAGGAUUAGAUACCCUGGUAGUCCACGCCCUAAACGAUGUCUACUAGGUGUCGGGACUUAAUUGUCUUGGUAACGCAGCUACGCGUGAGUAGACCGCCGNGGGAGGUACGGUCGCGAGAGUAAACGUACGAAGAAGUUAGACGGCGUGAGAGAGCCGACGGACGACGACGAGGGAGGAGGG
rnacentral:rRNA from 1 species